rnacentral:rRNA from 1 species
AACGAACGCUGGCGGCAUGCCUAACACAUGCAAGUCGAACGAGACCUUCGGGUCUAGUCGCGCACGGGUGCGUAACGCGUGGGAACCUGCCCUUAGGGUCGGAAUAACUCCCCGAAAGGGGUGCUAAUACCGGAUAAUGUCUUCGGACUAAAGAUUUAUCGCCUUUGGAUGGGCCCGCGUUGGAUUAGCUAGUUGGUAGGGUAAAAGCCUACCAAGGCGACGAUCCAUAGCUGGUCUGAGAGGCUGAUCAGCCACACUGGGACUGAGACACGGCCCAGACUCCUACGGGAGGCAGCAGUGGGGAAUAUUGGACAAUGGGCGAAAGCCUGAUCCAGCAAUGCCGCGUGAGUGAUGAAGGCCUUAGGGUUGUAAAGCUCUUUUAACCGGGAUGAUAAUGACAGUACCGGGAGAAUAAGCUCCGGCUAACUCCGUG